ensembl:misc_RNA
CUGGCCUGGCUGUUGGCAGCCUGGGAAGGGACCUGUGUUUCUCAAGCCCGCACCCUCGGGGCCUGGGGGGGAGGCCCAACAGAUGUGUGGAUUUGGUAGCCAGGGCCUGGAUCCGGAUGCUGAGAAUGAGGCUGCAACUCAUUUCCCCAUUAAACAUUCUGAGAACAUCUGCACGGGUGUCCAAGGCCUCUCCCUCACGACUUGCUUUGAUUAUUGUGUGAAGUUCAGAACUGGCACACUGCCGCCAUGUUGGGAUGAAGGUGAAAAGAUCGCUCUUAAUUAAAUUAAAGACAUUUUUUUCUUCCUGUGUAAUUUUGCCUUGAAAAAUCAAGGCCACUUUUUUUUUCUUGUUGUUUUCUUCAUCCAAAGACCUCCAGACACUUUCCUCCCCACCUCUCCAGAGGUUCUGGGGAAUGUCCUGUGAGCUCAGCUCUUGGAGAAGAUAGUGCUUAACCCAGAUUCCAUUGUAU